rnacentral:rRNA from 1 species
UACGUAGGGUGCGAGCGUUGUUCGGAUUUACUGGGCGUAAAGGGCGCGUAGGCGGCCAGCACAAGUCAGUUGUGAAAUCUCCGAGCUUAACUCGGAAAGGUCAACUGAUACUGUGCGGCUAGAGUGCGGAAGGGGCAACUGGAAUUCUUGGUGUAGCGGUGAAAUGCGUAGAUAUCAAGAGGAACACCUGCGGCGAAGGCGGGUUGCUGGGCCGACACUGACGCUGAGGCGCGAAAGCCAGGGGAGCGAACGGG